rnacentral:rRNA from 1 species
AUUGAACGCUGGCGGCAGGCCUAACACAUGCAAGUCGAGCGGAUGAAGGGAGCUUGCUCCUGGAUUCAGCGGCGGACGGGUGAGUAAUGCCUAGGAAUCUGCCUGGUAGUGGGGGAUAACGUCCGGAAACGGGCGCUAAUACCGCAUACGUCCUGAGGGAGAAAGUGGGGGAUCUUCGGACCUCACGCUAUCAGAUGAGCCUAGGUCGGAUUAGCUAGUUGGUGGGGUAAAGGCCUACCAAGGCGACGAUCCGUAACUGGUCUGAGAGGAUGAUCAGUCACACUGGAACUGAGACACGGUCCAGACUCCUACGGGAGGCAGCAGUGGGGAAUAUUGGACCAAGGGCGAAAGCCUGAUCCAGCCAUGCCGCGUGUGUGAAGAAGGUCUUCGGAUUGUAAAGCACUUUAAGUUGGGAGGAAGGGCAGUAAGUUAAUACCUUGCUGUUUUGACGUUACCAACAGAAUAAGCACCGGCUAACUUCGUG